GGGCCGACAGAGUUUGAUCCUGGCUCAGAAUCAACGCUGGCGGCGCGCUUAACACAUGCAAGUCGAACGAGAAAGGGUAGCAAUACCUGAGUAAAGUGGCGUACGGGUGAGUAACACGUGGAUUAUCUACCUUUUAGUGGGGAAUACCUCCGGGAAACUGGAGACAAUACCGCAUAAGCCUGAAAAGGGAAAGCAGCAAUGCGCUGAAAGAGGAGUCCGCGGCUGAUUAGCUAGAUGGUGGGGUAAUGGCCCACCAUGGCGAAGAUCGGUAGCCGGCCUGAGAGGGCACACGGCCACACUGGCACUGAAACACGGGCCAGACUCCUACGGGAGGCAGCAGUGGGGAAUCUUGGACAAUGGAGGAAACUCUGAUCCAGCCAUGCCGCGUGAGUGAUGAAGGCCUUCGGGUUGUAAAACUCUUUUGGCGGGGACGAUAAUGACGGUACCCGCAGAAUAAGCACCGGCUAACUACGUGCCAGCAGCCGCGGUAAUAGCU
rnacentral:rRNA from 1 species